UACGAAGGGGGCUAGCGUUGCUCGGAAUCACUGGGCGUAAAGGGUGCGUAGGCGGGUCUUUUAAGUCAGGGGUGAAAUCCUGGGGCUCAACCCCAGAACUGCCUUUGAUACUGAGGAGCUUGAGUCCGGGAGAGGUGAGUGGAACUGCGAGUGUAGAGGUGAAAUUCGUAGAUAUUCGCAAGAACACCAGUGGCGAAGGCGGCUCACUGGCCCGGUACUGACGCUGAGGUGCGAAAGCGUGGGGAGCAAACAGG
rnacentral:rRNA from 1 species